UACAGAGGUCCCAAGCGUUGUUCGGAUUCAUUGGGCGUAAAGGGUGCGUAGGCGGCGCGGUAAGUCGAGUGUGAAAUCUCGGAGCUUAACUUCGAAACUGCAUUCGAUACUGCGGUGCUUGAGGACUGGAGAGGAGACUGGAAUUUACGGUGUAGCAGUGAAAUGCGUAGAGAUCGUAAGGAAGACCAGUGGCGAAGGCGGGUCUCUGGACAGUUCCUGACACUGAGGCACGAAGGCCAGGGGAGCAAACGGG
rnacentral:rRNA from 1 species